GGUUAAGCGACUAAGCGUACACGGUGGAUGCCCUGGCAGUCAGAGGCGAUGAAGGACGUGCUAAUCUGCGAUAAGCGUCGGUGAGGUGAUAUGAACCGUUAUAACCGGCGAUUUCCGAAUGGGGAAACCCAGUGUGUUUCGACACACUAUCAUUAACUGAAUCCAUAGGUUAAUGAGGCGAACCGGGGGAACUGAAACAUCUAAGUACCCCGAGGAAAAGAAAUCAACCGAGAUUCCCCCAGUAGCGGCGAGCGAACGGGGAGGAGCCCAGAGCCUGAAUCAGUGUGUGUGUUAGUGGAAGCGUCUGGAAAGGCGCGCGAUACAGGGUGACAGCCCCGUACACAAAAAUGCACAUAUUGUGAGCUCGAUGAGUAGGGCGGGACACGUGGUAUCCUGUCUGAAUAUGGGGGGACCAUCCUCCAAGGCUAAAUACUCCUGACUGACCGAUAGUGAACCAGUACCGUGAGGGAAAGGCGAAAAGAACCCCGGCGAGGGGAGUGAAAAAGAACCUGAAACCGUGUACGUACAAGCAGUGGGAGCCUCUUUAUGGGGUGACUGCGUACCUUUUGUAUAAUGGGUCAGCGACUUAUAUUCUGUAGCAAGGUUAACCGAAUAGGGGAGCCGAAGGGAAACCGAGUCUUAACUGGGCGUUAAGUUGCAGGGUAUAGACCCGAAACCCGGUGAUCUAGCCAUGGGCAGGUUGAAGGUUGGGUAACACUAACUGGAGGACCGAACCGACUAAUGUUGAAAAAUUAGCGGAUGACUUGUGGCUGGGGGUGAAAGGCCAAUCAAACCGGGAGAUAGCUGGUUCUCCCCGAAAGCUAUUUAGGUAGCGCCUCGUGAAUUCAUCUCCGGGGGUAGAGCACUGUUUCGGCAAGGGGGUCAUCCCGACUUACCAACCCGAUGCAAACUGCGAAUACCGGAGAAUGUUAUCACGGGAGACACACGGCGGGUGCUAACGUCCGUCGUGAAGAGGGAAACAACCCAGACCGCCAGCUAAGGUCCCAAAGUCAUGGUUAAGUGGGAAACGAUGUGGGAAGGCCCAGACAGCCAGGAUGUUGGCUUAGAAGCAGCCAUCAUUUAAAGAAAGCGUAAUAGCUCACUGGUCGAGUCGGCCUGCGCGGAAGAUGUAACGGGGCUAAACCAUGCACCGAAGCUGCGGCAGCGACACUAUGUGUUGUUGGGUAGGGGAGCGUUCUGUAAGCCUGUGAAGGUGGCCUGUGAGGGUUGCUGGAGGUAUCAGAAGUGCGAAUGCUGACAUAAGUAACGAUAAAGCGGGUGAAAAGCCCGCUCGCCGGAAGACCAAGGGUUCCUGUCCAACGUUAAUCGGGGCAGGGUGAGUCGACCCCUAAGGCGAGGCCGAAAGGCGUAGUCGAUGGGAAACAGGUUAAUAUUCCUGUACUUGGUGUUACUGCGAAGGGGGGACGGAGAAGGCUAUGUUGGCCGGGCGACGGUUGUCCCGGUUUAAGCGUGUAGGCUGGUUUUCCAGGCAAAUCCGGAAAACCAAGGCUGAGGCGUGAUGACGAGGCACUACGGUGCUGAAGCGACAAAUGCCCUGCUUCCAGGAAAAGCCUCUAAGCAUCAGGUAACAUCAAAUCGUACCCCAAACCGACACAGGUGGUCAGGUAGAGAAUACCAAGGCGCUUGAGAGAACUCGGGUGAAGGAACUAGGCAAAAUGGUGCCGUAACUUCGGGAGAAGGCACGCUGAUAUGUAGGUGAAGCGACUUGCUCGUGGAGCUGAAAUCAGUCGAAGAUACCAGCUGGCUGCAACUGUUUAUUAAAAACACAGCACUGUGCAAACACGAAAGUGGACGUAUACGGUGUGACGCCUGCCCGGUGCCGGAAGGUUAAUUGAUGGGGUUAGCGGUAACGCGAAGCUCUUGAUCGAAGCCCCGGUAAACGGCGGCCGUAACUAUAACGGUCCUAAGGUAGCGAAAUUCCUUGUCGGGUAAGUUCCGACCUGCACGAAUGGCGUAAUGAUGGCCAGGCUGUCUCCACCCGAGACUCAGUGAAAUUGAACUCGCUGUGAAGAUGCAGUGUACCCGCGGCAAGACGGAAAGACCCCGUGAACCUUUACUAUAGCUUGACACUGAACAUUGAGCCUUGAUGUGUAGGAUAGGUGGGAGGCUUUGAAGUGUGGACGCCAGUCUGCAUGGAGCCGACCUUGAAAUACCACCCUUUAAUGUUUGAUGUUCUAACGUUGGCCCGUAAUCCGGGUUGCGGACAGUGUCUGGUGGGUAGUUUGACUGGGGCGGUCUCCUCCUAAAGAGUAACGGAGGAGCACGAAGGUUGGCUAAUCCUGGUCGGACAUCAGGAGGUUAGUGCAAUGGCAUAAGCCAGCUUGACUGCGAGCGUGACGGCGCGAGCAGGUGCGAAAGCAGGUCAUAGUGAUCCGGUGGUUCUGAAUGGAAGGGCCAUCGCUCAACGGAUAAAAGGUACUCCGGGGAUAACAGGCUGAUACCGCCCAAGAGUUCAUAUCGACGGCGGUGUUUGGCACCUCGAUGUCGGCUCAUCACAUCCUGGGGCUGAAGUAGGUCCCAAGGGUAUGGCUGUUCGCCAUUUAAAGUGGUACGCGAGCUGGGUUUAGAACGUCGUGAGACAGUUCGGUCCCUAUCUGCCGUGGGCGCUGGAGAACUGAGGGGGGCUGCUCCUAGUACGAGAGGACCGGAGUGGACGCAUCACUGGUGUUCGGGUUGUCAUGCCAAUGGCACUGCCCGGUAGCUAAAUGCGGAAGAGAUAAGUGCUGAAAGCAUCUAAGCACGAAACUUGCCCCGAGAUGAGUUCUCCCUGA
rnacentral:rRNA from 1 species